rfam:Picea glauca, whole genome shotgun sequence.
ACAUGCCUACAACAUAGCGUUAAUGCAUCAAAUCCCAUUAUAACUCCGUAGUUAAGCACACUCAAGCUAGAGUAGUACUAGGAUGGGUGACUACCCGGGAAGUCCUAGUGUUUUACAUGCC